rnacentral:lncRNA from 1 species
CAUUUGCAUAGGUCGAGCGGGCUAGAACAAAUACGUCACUUCACUUGUCACCAGCAGGGGGGUGGUUGAGACCCGCGUCAAAGGAGACAGGAAAGUGUUAAGUGAGUUAAGUUUUAAGAAUGCAGGCGAGAGUGACAGGUAAUCUCCCUCACUGCUCUGUCUGCCGGGAGCACGCUUGGGACAGCGCACAGCUGGGGGGGAAAGGCCAGGGAAUAAAUAUUUGAUUAAGAAGGAAGACUGUCGCUGCGGGAGACGACGACGCAGGAGUGUAGCACCAGCCCCGUUCAACGGCACUGAACCCAGUUCGCCAGAAGGGGGCAGCAGACAUUGCAGAGGCGCUUUGGGCGGGACAACCUGCUUGGAGGGUGUGCUCCUGAAAACCUAUCGCUGUAAUUUAAUGUUAUACCAUUGUUUUUCUUUAUAUAGUACAAUAAUUCACCUGGCCAAAAAUACCAUGUUACAGCUGGAUAUAUCCUGCUGCAGUAAUCCAUCACCGGACUGCCGAUUUGCUACCAGGCGCGCUGGCGUGACCACGACGCGGAGUCUCUCGGAUGCCUUGCGCUUCAUCACAGCUAAACGGAUUAGCGCGGCAGCCUGUACCCACCCAUGAGCAGCUCUGUCACACAAGGCGGGUAGAACAGACCCUGGCGUAAAACGGUGACAAAUGCAAUUCUGAAAUUGUUUGUAGCCGCAAUGAUAGUAGGAGAUGUGGUGCCAUCUGUAUUUACAAACUGAAAUGUAAAUACUGUACAAGCUGGGUAAAUGAGCGAUUAUGUUUUGAAUAUUCGUAUUCAAAAUAACAUUUUAACAAGUCAUUGCAGUGAGAAUAAAAAUAAUAACUUUU